rnacentral:lncRNA from 1 species
AAAAUCGCCAGAUCUCCUCCCAAGCGAAAGAGAGACGACCCCUCUUCUUCAUCUCUCUCAAUCGCUGCUCCCUCCUCCAACUAGACGACCUUCCUCAUUCUUUUUCUUCACUCCUUCACACACAUACAUUCAGACUCAUAGAAGCAGCCUCGAUUUUGAAUUUCGGAUUCUAGAUCUAUAACACAAUAAGCUCAAAAUCAGGGGGAAAAAAACAAAAGAAGAACGGGAUUCAAAAGGGAAUUUUAUUAAAAAUGUUCCAGGAUUCAAACUCUGUUGAUUGCUGUUGAUUUUCGCUGUUGAUUCAGUUCAUGGUUGAGCUCCAGAUUAGCCUCGAGUUUGUUGUUGAGAUUCGCAGGUCCAAUUUGGUCUGAAUUUGCUGUCCGUUUGGCUUUGAGAUUGUAUUGAGAGGCAUAUUCAUGAAUAAUUAUUGCUGUGGAAAUUGUUGUUGGAGUUACACUUGCUGAUUUCACUUUAUUUGGGCUUGUUUCGGUAUUUCGCUUUCAAUUAGGUAAGCGCGUCUCCUAUUUUAUCAUUCUGCUCGAGUUAAGUAUUUUCUUCUUCUUUACAUGCUUCCCGUAUUAUUUGUCUAUGAUUUUGGGUGAUGUUUCUCGAGUAGUAUCAUAUUAUACAGUUCUGCUAAUUGCAAUUUAGGAUAAUGUUAUAAACUGUUGCACAUGAAGCCUGUAGUUCUUAAAUCGUUUCUGUUUGCAGUUGAAUUAGACUAAUAAACUUUAUAGCUGCAAUUUUGAAUAAUGUUAUAAACUGUCGCACCAUUUCCGUAAUAUGAAGCCUGUAGUUCUUAACUCGUUUCUGUUUGCAGUUGAAUUAGACUAAUAAACUUUAUAGAAUGUGAAAUAAUGGGUUUAGUUGAAGUGAUAAGUUGUUUCGGCUCAAUAUGCAUACUUUUCUUGAGGCAUAUGGUUUAUGAAGUUUAAUGUUUUCAGAAUCAUGACUUAUACUUGCGUUUGGUAUGGUUUAAAGCGUACUUACAAAAAUAAUA